GAUGAAGAACUCAGCGAAAUGCGAUACGUAAUGUGAAUUGCAGAAUUCAGUGAAUCAUCGAAUCUUUGAACGCAUAUUGCGCUCUCUGGUAUUCCGGAGAGCAUGCUUGUUUGAGUAUCAGUAAACACCUCAACUCCCUUUUCUUUUUUGAAAUUGGAGCUGGACUUGAGUGAUCCCAACGCUUUCUUCCAAGAAAGUGGCGGGUUGCUUGAAAUGCAGGUGCAGCUGAACUUUUCUCUGAGCUAUAAGCAUAUCUAUUUAGUCUGCCUAAAAAACAGAUUAUUACCUUUGCUGCAGCUAACAUAAAGGAGACUAGUUCUUGUGCUGACUGAUGCAGGAUUCACAGAGACAGCUUCGGCUGACUUUGUAAACUCGAUCUCAAAUCAAGUAAGACUACCCGCUGAACUUAAGCAUAUCAAUAGCGGAGGA
rnacentral:misc_RNA from 1 species